CUAAGAAUAUUCCGCAAUGGACGAAAGUCUGACGGAGCGACGCCGCGUGGAUGAUGAAGGCCGAAAGGUUGUAAAGUCCUUUUGCUGGGGAAGAAUAACCAUGGGAGGGAAUGCCCGUGGGAUGACAUGAACCGGCGAAUAAGCCCCGGCUAACUACGUGCCAGCAGCCGCGGUAACACGUAGGGGGCGAGCGUUGUUCGGAAUUACUGGGCGUAAAGGGCAUGUAGGCGGCUUGGUAAGCCUGGCGUGAAAGUCACCGGCUCAACCGGUGGAUUGCGUUGGGAACUGCUGGGCUUGAAUCAUGGAGAGGGAGCUAGAAUUCCAGGUGUAGGGGUGAAAUCUGUAGAGAUCUGGAAGAAUACCAGUGGCGAAGGCGAGCUCCUGGCCAAUGAUUGACGCUGAGGUGCGAAAGUGUGGGGAUCAAACAGG
rnacentral:rRNA from 1 species